rnacentral:rRNA from 1 species
UGAGAGUUUGAUCCUGGCUCAGAGUGAACGUUGGCGGCGUGGAUUAGGCAUGCAAGUCGUGCGACGAGGCCCGCAAGGGUGCUCGAGCGGCGAAAGGGAGAGUAAUGCAUGGGUUACCUGCCCUCGGGACUGGGAUAGCCACGGGAAACUGUGGGUAAUACCAGAUGACGUCUUCGGACCAAAGGUGCGAUUCCGCCCGAGGAGGGGCCCGUGUCCUAUCAGCUAGUUGGUGGGGUAAAGGCUCACCAAGGCUAUGACGGGUACGGGGUGUGAGAGCAUGUCCCCGCUCACUGGGACUGAGACACUGCCCAGACACCUACGGGUGGCUGCAGUCGAGAAUCUUCGGCAAUGGGCGCAAGCCUGACCGAGCGACGCCGCGUGCGGGACGAAGGCCGUUGUGUUGUAAACCGCUGUCAGGGGGGAGGAAAUGUCGGCCCUCAGGGUCGGCUUGACCUAUCCUCAGAGGAAGGACGGGCUAAGUUCGUGCCAGCAGCCGCGGUAAGACGAACCGUCCGAACGUUACUCGGAAUUACUGGGCUUAAAGGGUGCGUAGGCGGCUUUGCAAGUCGGAUGUGAAAUACCUCGGCUUAACCGAGGAACUGCAUUCGAAACUGUAAAGCUCGAGAGAGAUAGAGGUGAGCGGAACUUGGGGUGGAGCGGUGAAAUGCGUUGAUAUCCCAAGGAACACCGGAGCGAAAGCGGCUCACUGGGUCUUUUCUGACGCUGAGGCACGAAAGCUAGGGGAGCAAACGGGAUUAGAUACCCCGGUAGUCCUAGCCCUAAACGAUGAGCACUAGACCGAGGGAUUCUCCAUGAUCUCUUGGUCGUAGGAAACCGUUAAGUGCUCGCCUGGGGAGUAUGGUCGCAAGCUGAAACUCAAGGAAUUGACGGGGCUCACACAGCGUGAGAUGUGCUUAAUUCGAGCUACGC